rnacentral:rRNA from 1 species
GAUGAACGCUAGCGAUAUGCUUAACACAUGCAAGUCGAGGGGCAGCAUGGUCUUAGCUUGCUAAGACUGAUGGCGACCGGCGCACGGGUGCGUAACGCGUAUGCAACUUGCCUCACAGAGGGGGAUAACCCGUCGAAAGACUGACUAAUACCGCGUACACUUGGGAUAGGGCAUCCUGACCCAAGGAAAUGAAAUUCGCUCUUAGAUAGGCAUGCGUCCCAUUUGCUAGUUGGUGAGGGAACGGCACACCCAAGCGACGAGGCGGAGGGGAAGGGAGAGGGGGGGUUGAAACCCCACACUGGUACUGAGACACGGACCAGACUCCUACGGGAGGCAGCAGUGAGGAAUAUUGGGCAAGGGGCGAGAGCCUGAACCAGCCAAGUCGCGUGAAGGAGGACUGUCUUAUGGAUUGUAAACUUCUUUUAUACGGGAAUAACAAGAGCAACGUGUGGCUCCCUGCAUGUACCGUAUGAAUAAGCAUCGGCUAACUCCGUG